AACUAAGCAUAUCAAUAAGCGGAGGAAAAGAAACCAACAGGGAUUGCCCUAGUAACGGCGAGUGAAGCGGCAACAGCUCAAAUUUGAAAUCUGGCUCUUUCAGAGUCCGAGUUGUAAUUUGCAGAGGGCGCUUUGGCUUUGGCAGCGGUCCAAGUUCCUUGGAACAGGACGUCACAGAGGGUGAGAAUCCCGUACGUGGUCGCUAGCUAUUGCCGUGUAAAGCCCCUUCGACGAGUCGAGUUGUUUGGGAAUGCAGCUCUAAAUGGGAGGUAAAUUUCUUCUAAAGCUAAAUAUUGGCCAGAGACCGAUAGCGCACAAGUAGAGUGAUCGAAAGAUGAAAAGCACUUUGGAAAGAGAGUCAAACAGCACGUGAAAUUGUUGAAAGGGAAGCGCUUGCAGCCAGACUUGCUUGCAGUUGCUCAUCCGGGCUUUUGCCCGGUGCACUCUUCUGCAGGCAGGCCAGCAUCAGUUUGGGCGGUGGGAUAAAGGUCUCUGACACGUUCCUUCCUUCGGGUUGGCCAUAUAGGGGAGACGUCAUACCACCAGCCUGGACUGAGGUCCGCGCAUCUGCUAGGAUGCUGGCGUAAUGGCUGUAAGCGGCCCGUCUUGAAACACGGACCAAGGAGUCUAACAUCUAUGCGAGUGUUUGGGUGUCAAGCCCGAGCGCGUAAUGAAAGUGAACGGAGGUGGGAACCCGCAAGGGCGCACCAUCGACCGAUCCUGAAGUUUACGGAAGGAUUUGAGUAAGAGCAUGGCUGUUGGGACCCGAAAGAUGGUGAACUAUGCUUGAAUAGGGUGAAGCCAGAGGAAACUCUGGUGGAGGCUCGCAGCGGUUCUGACGUGCAAAUCGAUCGUCAAAUUUGGGCAUAGGGGCGAAAGACUAAUCGAACUAUCUAGUAGCUGGUUCCUGCCGAGUUUCCCCUCAGGGAAA
rnacentral:rRNA from 1 species